rnacentral:rRNA from 1 species
UACGUAGGGUGCAAGCGUUAAUCGGAAUUACUGGGCGUAAAGCGUGCGCAGGCGGCUUUGCAAGACAGAUGUGAAAAUCCCCGGGCUCAACCUGGGAACUGCAUUUGUGACUGCAUGGCUAGAGUACGGUAGAGGGGAUGGAAUUCCGCGUGUAGCAGUGAAUGCGUAGAUAUGCGGAGGAACACCGAUGGCGAAGGCAAUCCCUGGGCCUGCAC